AACGAACGCUGGCGGCAGGCUUAACACAUGCAAGUCGAACGCCCCGCAAGGGGAGUGGCAGACGGGUGAGUAACGCGUGGGAACGUGCCCUAAGGUACGGAACAACUCCGGGAAACUGGAGCUAAUACCGUAUGUGACCGAGAGGUGAAAGAUUUAUCGCCUUAGGAUCGGCCCGCGUCAGAUUAGCUAGUUGGUGGGGUAAUGGCCUACCAAGGCGACGAUCUGUAGCUGUUCUGAGAGGAUGAUCAGCCACACUGGGACUGAGACACGGCCCAGACUCCUACGGGAGGCAGCAGUGGAGAAUAUUGGACAAUGGGCGAAAGCCUGAUCCAGCCAUGCCGCGUGAGUGAUGAAGGCCCUAGGGUUGUAAAGCUCUUUCGGCGGGGACGAUAAUGACGGUACCAGAUGAAUAAGCACCGGCUAACUCCGUGCCAGCCGCCGCGGUAA
rnacentral:rRNA from 1 species